AAUUAUUCUUUCAGUUCUGAAAGUCUAAACUAAAUGGUAAUAUUAAUCAGAACAUCAAAAUUGAGCCCUGGUCACGCUGCGUGCGACGCCAAAAACCGCGUUUUUGUUUUUAUUGAAGAAAUUGCCUAAGAAACUUCCAAGAAUUGCACUGAUGUGGAGGGCGGAGGCGCAAUU